rnacentral:lncRNA from 1 species
AUCUGGGAGGCCACAAACCAUGGAAGCUGUACGCAUGGCGUAGUGGACUAGCGGUUAGAGGAGACCCCUCCCUUGCAAAUCGCAGCAACAAUGGGGGCCCAAGGUGAGAUGAAGCUGUAGUCUCACUGGAAGGACUAGAGGUUAGAGGAGACCCCCCCGAAACAAAAAACAGCAUAUUGACGC